rnacentral:rRNA from 1 species
UACGGGGGGGGCAAGCGUUGUUCGGAAUUACUGGGCGUAAAGGGCUCGUAGGCGGCCAACUAAGUCAGACGUGAAAUCCCUCAGCUUAACUGGGGAACUGCGUCUGAGACUGGCAAGCUUGAGUGCAGGAGAGGAACGCGGAAUUCCAGGUGUAGCGGUGAAAUGCGUAGAUAUCUGGAGGAACACCGGUGGCGAAGGCGGCGUUCUGGACUGUAACUGACACUGAGGAACGAAAGCCAGGGGAGCAAACGGG